AAGUCUGACGGAGCAACGCCGCGUGAGCGAUGAAGGCCUUCGGGUCGUAAAGCUCUGUUGUUAGGGAAGAACAAGUAUCGGAGUAACUGCCGGUACCUUGACGGUACCUAACCAGAAAGCCACGGCUAACUACGUGCCAGCAGCCGCGGUAAUACGUAGGUGGCAAGCGUUGUCCGGAAUUAUUGGGCGUAAAGCGCGCGCAGGUGGUUCCUUAAGUCUGAUGUGAAAGCCCACGGCUCAACCGUGGAGGGUCAUUGGAAACUGGGGAACUUGAGUGCAGAAGAGGAAAGUGGAAUUCCACGUGUAGCGGUGAAAUGCGUAGAGAUGUGGAGGAACACCAGUGGCGAAGGCGACUUUCUGGUCUGUAACUGACACUGAGGCGCGAAAGCGUGGGGAGCGAACAGGAUUAGAUACCCUGGUAGUCCACGCCGUAAACGAUGAGUGCUAAGUGUUAGAGGGUUUCCGCCCUUUAGUGCUGCAGCAAACGCAUUAAGCACUCCGCCUGG
rnacentral:rRNA from 1 species